UACUAACUCUGGCGGCGUGCCUAAUACAUGCAAGUUGAGCGCUGAAGGUUGGUACUUGUACCAACUGGAUGAGCAGCGAACGGGUGAGUAACGCGUGGGGAAUCUGCCUUUGAGCGGGGGACAACAUUUGGAAACGAAUGCUAAUACCGCAUAAAAACUUUAAACACAAGUUUUAAGUUUGAAAGAUGCAAUUGCAUCACUCAAAGAUGAUCCCGCGUUGUAUUAGCUAGUUGGUGAGGUAAAGGCUCACCAAGGCGAUGAUACAUAGCCGACCUGAGAGGGUGAUCGGCCACAUUGGGACUGAGACACGGCCCAAACUCCUACGGGAGGCAGCAGUAGGGAAUCUUCGGCAAUGGACGAAAGUCUGACCGAGCAACGCCGCGUGAGUGAAGAAGGUUUUCGGAUCGUAAAACUCGGUUGGUAGAGAAGAACGUUGGUGAGAGUGGAAAGCUCAUCAAGUGACGGUAACUACCCAGAAAGGGACGGCUAACUACGUG
rnacentral:rRNA from 1 species